rnacentral:lncRNA from 1 species
GAAGGCUCAAGUUCAACUGGUCCCAUGUUACUAGAAAGUGUGCCCUCACCAGAAAACCAGCUCACUGAAGACUCUUUAGAAGAACAAGAUGAUCUUGAUAAUAGUACUGAGCAGAAAGAUGACAAAAUACCAGUUACAGAGCAGACAAACCAAGUGAUUGAAGAAACAUCUGGUCCAGAGGGGUCAGAAGAGAACCAAGAAGAGACUGAGAACGAGGAAACAUCGACAAAUGAAGCCAAGUCACCUGUUCUCAGAUCUGAUUCUGUUUCUAAUCUUGAACUGAGUGAAGACUCUGUGGUGACAAAGUAGUAAAUACUUCCCUGUGCCUUCAACUGGAUAUUUGUAGUCACGUUGACCUCAGUUACUGCUUUUUUUGUGGUACUCAAGAAAAAUUUGCUCUCUAGAUAUACUUUUAAUAUUCAUAAUGAGAUUGCCCUGCAAGUUCAGUGUAUCCCAGCCCUACCAUUAGGUAUUGAAAGUAAAAGCACAUGGUAUCAGUUAAUGUGCAGAGACAUGGCUGAUAGAUGCUUUGUGCAUUCUAAAGUUUAAAAAGAAACUUGUUGUCUACACGUAUAACCUGUAAAUAAUACCGGUUUUGACAUAGGAACAAAUUUGGCUAGGAAUAAUUUUUUCCAUAGUGUUUAAGGAUUGAAACAUAAUUAAGAUUUUGAAUACUUCACCAGUAAAUUUUAACUUUGGAGAUAUUUGCCAGCGGGAAGGAAAUAUCUAUUUAGGUGUUUACAUUAAGUGAUGCUGAAAGCUGUAACCUUAAUUACAUAUGCAUUGGUACGAAUUCUCAAUAAGAACGCAACUCAACAGUCAAGUGCAGUAUUUCUUUGAUGUCUUUUAUUUUACAACUGGGCCAAAGGCACAUGAUGUAUAUAGUUAGUUUAUGUUUACAUAUUAAUAGGAAAUACAUCUGCACUUGACUGUACUUGAAUUCUUGGUAUUAUUUAUAUUUGUAAUAUAAUGAUGAUAUAUAAAUGGCUUUUAUGUGUGUGUGUGUAUGUUUUGUUAAGGAAAAUAAAGACGACCUGGCAGCGUCUUUUCUUUGUU